AUGCUUUAGCAGCACAUUUAUUAAAAUUGGAAUAACCAAGAGAAGACUAGCACGGUCCCUGAACAAAGAUGACAGGCACAUCCAUGAAAUGUUCUAUAUUCUC
rfam:Canis lupus familiaris chromosome 16, whole genome shotgun sequence.